rnacentral:rRNA from 1 species
GCCUACGGGGGGCAGCAGUGAGGAAUAUUGGCCAAUGGGCGCGAGCCUGAACCAGCCAAGUCGCGUGAGGGAAGACGGUCCUAUGGAUUGUAAACCUCUUUUGUCGGGGAGCAAAAGACGCCACGCGUGGCGUUCCGAGGGUACCCGAAGAAAAAACAUCGGCUAACUCCGUGCCAGCAGCCGCGGUAAUACGGAGGAUGCGAGCGUUAUCCGGAUUUAUUGGGUUUAAAGGGUGCGCAGGCGGAAGAUCAAGUCAGCGGUAAAAUUGAGAGGCUCAACCUCUUCGAGCCGUUGAAACUGGUUUC